UACGUAGGGGGCUAGCGUUGUCCGGAAUCAUUGGGCGUAAAGAGCGUGUAGGCGGCCCGGUAAGUCCGCUGUGAAAGUCGGGGGCUCAACCCUCGAAAGCCGGUGGAUACUGUCUAGCUAGAGUCCGGAAGAGGCGAGUGGAAUUCCUGGUGUAGCGGUGGAAUGCGCAGAUAUCAGGAGGAACACCAACGGCGAAGGCAGCUCGCUGGGACGGUACUGACGCUAAGGCGCGAAAGCGUGGGGAGCGAACAGG
rnacentral:rRNA from 1 species